GUCAGAAGACUGACUGUUGCCUUGCCAGUGGACGGAGAAACUCGGCGGUACGGAAGCAGGAGUCUGGUGAGGCCAUUCCUCUGAUGGUCGAGAGCUGCAUCCGCUUCAUCAGUCGCCAUGGU